rnacentral:lncRNA from 1 species
GUGAAGAUGAAUAUGGUACCUUAAUAUACAACCGUAAUGGAAAUGGUGCAAGCAUAAGUGGACCAUCUUUCCAUUCAGUAUCUUCAAGUUCUUUACAUUACAUUCUUCAGAACAACAACGUUAAUAGACAAUCACUUGCAGUACAGACACCUGGAGUAUCUACAGUAGAAAGUCCUCUGAGUCUUGGCGAUCUUCCUCAACCAUUAGCCCCGACCAAAGUACCUCCUGUGGUAGUAUAUGAAGCCCAUGAAGAGGAACAAGAGGAGGAGGAACAGUCAUCCUUGCUAACAGUGGACACUAGAGGUAUUUUUAUCAUCAUUCAUUUUAUUUCAUUUUUGGCUGGUCAAAAAUUACUGUCUCAUUCUGUUUCUUUUCACCUGCAGCUGUGGUACCAUUAUUGCUGUCUAAACCAUCACCAUCAGAUGAAGUGAUGACAUCAUCUCUUUCAACUGCAGCACUCACACCAAGACCAGAAAUUAUCCUGGACCCCCGAUGCAAGUUAAGGCUGGAUCAAGGGUCAUGCCGUGUUUAUAUCAUAAAAUGGUAUUAUGAUAAACAAGCCAAUGCUUGUGCUCAGUUUUG